rnacentral:lncRNA from 1 species
GGAUCCAGUAACCUAUGAUGAUGUGCAUGUGAACUUUACUCAUGAGGAAUGGGCUUUGCUAGAUCCUUCCCAGAAGAAUCUCUACAAAGAUGUGAUGCUGGAAACCUACUUGAACCUCUGUGGUAUAGGGUGUAAAUGGGAAGACUGCAACAUUGAAGAACAUUGUCAAAGUUCUGGAAGACAUGAAAGAGAUUUGCUGAAUAUGGCAUAUCCAUUCCUAAUGGGAACCCAGUCCAAAGAAGAUAGAUGGACUACCACCUGAAUUAUUAUGGUUUAUACUAACCACUGAGCCAAAAUCGCACAAGCUUCGCCUGCCAUCCAGGGCUCUGUUCACGCAUCUCAGCCCAGGGAAAGGAGCCACACACAGUGAGCAGGUCUUCGAAGCUCAACGGCUUAUCCAGAAUGUCCAGGCGUUGGGGUGACAAUCCAGCUCUUAGUGCCUCUACAGUCGUGGACAUGCUAACAUCUUCAGGCCUUCGUGUUCCUG